rnacentral:rRNA from 1 species
UACGUAGGGGGCUAGCGUUGUCCGGAAUCAUUGGGCGUAAAGCGCGUGUAGGCGGUCCGGUAAGUCCGCUGUGAAAGUCGGGGGCUCAACCCUCGAAUGCCGGUGGAUACUGUCGGGCUAGAGUACGGAAGAGGCGAGUGGAAUUCCUGGUGUAGCGGUGAAAUGCGCAGAUAUCAGGAGGAACACCAAUUGCGAAGGCAGCUCGCUGGGACGUUACUGACG